CACACUGUAAACGAUGAAUGCUAGGUGUAGGGGGUAUCGACCCCUUCUGUGCCGGAGUAAACACAAUAAGCAUUCCGCCUGGGGAGUACGGCCGCAAGGUUGAAACUCAAAGAAAUUGACGGGGGCCCGCACAAGCAGCGGAGCAUGUGGUUUAAUUCGAAGCAACGCGAAGAACCUUACCAGGUCUUGACAUCCAGGUAAACUUGCAGAGAUGCAAGGUGUGCUUGCACAAUCUGAGACAGGUGG
rnacentral:rRNA from 1 species